rnacentral:rRNA from 1 species
AUUGAACGCUGGCGGCAUGCCUUACACACGCAAGUCGAACGGCAGCACGGGAGCAAUCCUGGUGGCGAGUGGCGAACGGGUGAGUAAAGUAUCGGAACGUGCCCAGUCGUGGGGGAUAACGUAGCGAAAGUUACGCUAAUACCGCAUACGAUCUAUGGAUGAAAGCGGGGGAUCGCAAGACCUCGCGCGAUUGGAGCGGCCGAUAUCAGAUUAGGUAGUUGGUGGGGUAAAGGCUCACCAAGCCGACGAUCUGUAGCUGGUCUGAGAGGACGACCAGCCACACUGGGACUGGGACACGGCCCAGACUCCUACGGGAGGCAGCAGUGGGGAAUUUUGGACAGUGGGCGAAAGCCUGAUCCAGCCAUGCCGCGUGCAGGAUGAAGGCCUUCGGGUUGUAAACUGCUUUUGUACGGAACGAAAAGGUUUGGCCUAAUACGCUGAACUCAUGACGGUACCGUAAGAAUAAGCACCGGCUAACUACGUGCCAGCAGCCGCCGUAA